rnacentral:tRNA from 1 species
GGAAGGUUGGCAGAGCGGCUUAUAGCACCGGUCUUGAAAACCGUGAUGUCGUGUGAACCACGGCGCAGAGGUUCGAAUCCUCUACCUUCCGCCA